UGCUGGGAUUAUAGGCGUGAGCCACCACGCCCAGCCCCUUUUAUCUUCUCUUCCUCUUUCUCCUUUUUUUUUCCUCCUCCUCCUCCUUCUUUCUCUUGUAUUUGUCCAUUCUCCUUUUUCCUUAACUUAGUCUAUUCUGUGUAUUUUCUAAGUACCAGGAUUCUUAUUUGUUUGUUAAUGCUAAGUGUGGUGGUGGUAAACCCUGCAUGCUGUAGUAUGACAGUUACUAGACUUUGACUGAGUGGUGGCUGUCCUUUGUAGGCCAGGGUUCACAGUAGGGAAUGCUACCAGAGAACUGAGCUCCCUGAUGUUAAUGGUGAUAGUAGGACUUCAGAGUAACAGUGGCCAGGUGGCAACAUUUUACCAUCAUAGUUUGUGGUGUUUUCUGUCUCCUAAUUAUGCUGUAAGCAUGGAUUGUGUGUGUGUGUGUGUGUGUGUGUGUGUUGUUUGUUUGUUUUGAGACAGUGUCUUGGUCUGUUGCCCAGGCUGGAGUGCAGUGAUGCAAUCUUGGCUCACUGCGGCCUCAACUUCCCAGGCUCAAGUGAUCCUCCUGCCUCAGUCCCCCUGAGCAGCUGGGACUACAGGCAUGCGCCCCCACACCCAGCUAAUUUUUUUUAAUUUUUAGUAGAGACACGGUCUCACUAUGUUGCCCAGACUGGUCUUGAACUCCUGGACUCAACCAAUUCCCCCCACCUUGGCCUGGUAUUACAGGUGUGAGCCACCAUGCUCAGCAAUUAUGUGUAUUCUUCCCCUUCUUUCUCUCUUCAUUGACAAAAUGAUUUUAGGAGCGUGUCUAGAAAGGCUGGACUUAUGCAGCUGCCGUUAUCCUAUGGGGACUGCAAAUGUUACUUGUUAAUGCAGUAAAAUGUUGAAGGGGUUUGUAGAAGACACUGUUGGCAACUUACCUGUAUCCGUCACUUUUACCAUUUCAGUGUACACACUACCGUUUUCAGCUGCCAGCAUCUGCACUUCUUGCCUGAGGGCUUUCUUUGCUGCUUGACUACAGUUUUCCACUCCCAUGGCAGUUGGAAGUGCUGGGGAAUUCAAGCUCCAUCCCACAGCAGCUCUAAACAAUAACUGGCAAGACUCUGUGUCUGAAUACCACAGCUCCCUCCCAUCUGGGGUGAGAGAACUCUGAGGCAUGUAGUUUACACUGGCUCCCAGAGUCCCCCCAGCAGAAUUCUGCUCCAGAGAUAAGCCUGAUAACACAUGCCUCUAUUGGCCACCUUCCCUUCCUUGUCUCCCUUUCCCACUCCCCAACCAAUGUUUUCCUUCACCUCCCAGUAAAUUCCUGUACACAGAUCCUUGUCUCCGGGUCUGCUUCUGGGAAAACUGAAACUAAGUUAGAAUUCUUCUGAGAUUUUUAGAUAAGGAUGUCUGCUAUUCUAUUACGAUUCAGCAUUUUACUCUAGGUCUUUAGCUAUGUACUAAAACAAGAAAAGGAAUGAAAGAAAGGUGGAAAGGGAGGAAUAAAACUUUCUUUUUAUAUUAUUUGUUAUGUAGAAAAUCCAAAAGUUAUACUAUUUGAAUUAAUAAGUUAUUUAUUUAUUUAUUUUUGAGACCGAGACUCGCUCUGUCACCCAGGCUGGAGUGCAGUGGUGUGAUCUUGGUUCACUUCAACCUCUGCCUCCAAGGUUCAAGCCAUUCUCCUGCCUCAGUCUCCCGAGUAGCUGGGACUACAGGUGCACACCACCACACCCAGGUCACUCACUCCAGAGGAAGCCAGCUGCUGUGUCAUGAGGCACUCAAGCAGCCAUAUGGAGAGGCUGAUGUGGUAGGGAACUGAGACCUCCUGCCAACAGCCAGCAUCGUCUUGCCAGGAGGGUGAGUCAUCUUGAAAGUGGAUCCUCUAGCCCCACGCAAGCCUUCAGAAGACUACAGCCAACCCUGAGUAACAUCUUCACUGCAACUUCAAGAGAGACCCUGAACCAAAAAUACCCAGCUAAGCCUCUCUCAGAUUCCCAGUCCACAGAAACUGUGAAAUAGAUGUUUAUAGUUUAAGCGACUAA